rnacentral:rRNA from 1 species
GAUGAACGCUGGCGGCGUGCUUAACACAUGCAAGUCGAACGGAGCACUUUGGACGGAUUCUUCGGAUGAAGUCCUUAGUGACUGAGUGGCGGACGGGCGAGUAACGCGUGGGUAACCUGCCUCAUACAGGGGGAUAACAGUUAGAAAUGGCUGCUAAUACCGCAUAAGCGCACAGUACUGCAUGGUACAGCGUGAAAAACUCCGGUGGUAUGAGAUGGACCCGCGUUGGAUUAGCUAGUUGGCAGGGUAACGGCCUACCAAGGCGACGAUCCAUAGCCGGCCUGAGAGGGUGGACGGCCACAUUGGGACUGAGACACGGCCCAGACUCAUACAGGAGGCAGCAGUGGGGAAUAUUGCACAAUGGGGGAAACCCUGAUGCAGCGACGCCGCGUGAGCGAAGAAGUAUUUCGGUAUGUAAAGCUCUAUCAGCAGGGAAGAAAAUGACGGUACCUGACUAAGAAGCCCUGGCUAACUACGUGCCAGCCGCCGCCGUAAUAC